rnacentral:rRNA from 1 species
AUUGAACGCUGGCGGCAGGCCUAACACAUGCAAGUCGAGCGGAUGAGAAGAGCUUGCUCUUCGAUUCAGCGGCGGACGGGUGAGUAAUGCCUAGGAAUCUGCCUGGUAGUGGGGGACGACGUUUCGAAAGGAACGCUAAUACCGCAUACGUCCUACGGGAGAAAGCAGGGGACCUUCGGGUCUUGCGCUAUCAGAUGAGCCUAGGUCGGAUUAGCUAGUUGGUGUGGUAAUGGCUCACCAAGGCGACGAUCCGUAACUGGUCUGAGAGGAUGAUCAGUCACACUGGAACUGAGACACGGUCCAGACUCCUACGGGAGGCAGCAGUGGGGAAUAUUGGACAAUGGGCGAAAGCCUGAUCCAGCCAUGCCGCGUGUGUGAAGAAGGUCUUCGGAUUGUAAAGCACUUUAAGUUGGGAGGAAGGGCAGUAAGUUAAUACCUUGCUGUUUUGACGUUACCGACAGAAUAAGCACCGGCUAACUCUGUGCCAGCCGCCGCGGUAAAAC